GCCCGGUUGGCUCAGUCGGUAGAGCGUGUGACUCUUAUAUGCCUUGGCACCUUAAGGAAUCUCAAGGUCGCGAGUUCGAGCCUCGCAUCGGGCU